UACGAAGGGGGCUAGCGUUGCUCGGAAUCACUGGGCGUAAAGGGUGCGUAGGCGGGUUUUAAGUCAGGGGUGAAAUCCUGGAGCUCAACUCCAGAACUGCCUUUGAUACUGAAGAUCUUGAGUCCGGGAGAGGUGAGUGGAACUGCGAGUGUAGAGGUGAAAUUCGUAGAUAUUCGCAAGAACACCAGUGGCGAAGGCGGCUCACUGGCCCGGAACUGACGCUGAGGUGCGAAAGCGUGGGGAGCAAACAGGG
rnacentral:rRNA from 1 species